rnacentral:tRNA from 1 species
AAAGGGAGACCUAAUUCAGGUAGGAGACGAAAAAAAGUAGUCCCUACCAAGAAUCAAUCCCAAAAGGUCGGAGCGAGGCAAAAUUGGCUUUCAAACUAGGUUCUGGGUUCACAUAAGACCUGAAUCAGGAACAAGGGCUAUUAGCUCAGGUGGUUAGAGCGCACCCCUGAUAAGGGUGAGGUCCCUGGUUCGAGUCCAGGGUGGCCCACCUGCACAGGUGGCAAAAACAAAGAAAAGAAGCUCCGAAUCAGCACCUUAUCUUACUCAUAUAGUAAGAGAGAAUGCUGGCUCUGAGUUCAGAGUCCAGAGGAACCUUGAAAACUGCAUAGAGCUAGGUGAAAAAGCCAAAAAAGAAGACCGCAAG